rnacentral:pre_miRNA from 1 species
UAUCUGUUUUCUCAUGUGAUUUUCUUUUGAUAUUAACUAGGGCUAAAUCAUCUGGCUUGAUGUGGGAUUGGUAAUGCUCCCAAGCAACUUCAAAGGCUCAUGAGAUGUGCAGAAACUCGGAACAGCUUAUGUUUCCCUCUCAUGUGCCUGUUGUAGUUCCCCGGAAGCAAUGUCAUAUUAAGGCCUUCAAACUUCGGCAGUUGAGCAGUGUCCCCAAGAAAUAUGGUUCACGUGAAAUGCAAGAUA